rnacentral:lncRNA from 1 species
GGAGAGGGAGAGAAAACAUACAAUUAUGUAUGUCUGGAGCACACCAUAUUAAAGGAGGGAGUGGCAGAAAACGUGAGGUGGGAAUCAAAUCAUGCUGGGCUUUUUGGCCAGCAAACUUGGAAAUCAUGUCUUAGAGAUCAAGGAGCCAAGAGAUGAGACAAGCCUGGGUUCCUAGGUGAUAGGGUGUGGCUGUGUCCCCACCCAAAUCUCGUCUUGAAUUGUAGCUCCCAUAAUCCCCACAUGUUGUGGAGGGACCCUGUGGAAGAUCUUUAAUAAAUGAAAUAAAUGUGACUGUAUGUCCUACAUCCCAUUCCUGUUGUCUUCCAUGUCUCCUCAGAGAUUGUGCCUGCAGCCUGGCCUGUUGCCCACAGCGGUCUACCUGCCACACUGGGAAAGAUCGAGCAGAGACAGAGAAGAAAAGGAGGCUCCAUUUUUCAGGCUGCUCUCCCGCAGGCUCAUGUUUUGUGUUCAUGCCAGGCAGAGAACACAAAAUGUUCCAAUAAAUAAGUAUCAAAGAUGUACCCAUAGGGUCAAGCUCCAGCACAGAGACCCAUCCUGGGAUGCAGGACUUGGUGCCAGGGAAGUCCCAGCAUCUACUUGUUUCCAAAGUUAUUUGGGUCAGCAUUUUCCUCCACCCACCACUUAAAACUGAUUUGUUUCAUACAUUUGAAAUGUAUGAAAAGCCAGAAAUCCAGGACCCACCCUGGCCUGCUCCCUUUUUCUCACCUACUGUGUUAAGGAUAAGUCAAUUGAGCUUCACUUCUCUAAUUGAAAUCACCGUGCUGAUGGAGUCUGUCUGUGGAAAUGAAAGGUGGCUACCAUAAUCUGUUGGGAGUUGAAUUAAUCCUCUGGGAGUGAGGCUGACCUAAUUACUCAGAAAUACUGGGCUUGCUUUCAUUCUGUGGAAUACAGCCAUGAGAAAGAGGCCAGCAUGCCAUUUCCUAAUCUUUUCUUGAAUUGCCUGAAACUCACCUAACAUGAAACUGAGAAGCCUUUUCAUUUGAAAGUGGUAUUUCUUAUGUUUUUUAUCUUUUUGCUUGAAAGUAUUCUUAAACUAAAGAAAGGAGAAACAGAAAAGGUGAAGAAGCCAAGAGGCUGGAGUUUCCUUUUGAAUGGAUAUUCAUCCAUGAAGCUGUUGAUUCUGUUUUUCUGUUCCUCCAGAUGUCUACACUUUUACCUCUGCUUGCCUGAUACAACCACCACCAGUCACCUCACAGAAUAACUCACUCCUUAAGAAUCUGAUCAGGAAUCAGCCUUCCCUGAUCACAAACACUGAGUUUAGAAGUCCCUCCACAGUGUCCCCCGUAACCCUGUGCUACCUCACUGCCUCAUAGUUUAGUGCCGUUUGUGUACAUGCCUAUCUUCGUCCAUGGAUCCAGAACAACUUGUAAAAAUGACUGUACUUAUCACCUUCAGUAUUCAAUGACUAAACUAUAAUUUUAACAUAUCUGGCAGAAUGAAUCACUUGGGGAUUUCUGCCAACACUACCAAUAUAUUACUCCUAAUUUGUAAUUAUUACUUAGCAUGGAUUAUAGUACCGGCUGUUGGAGAGCCAAUGUGGCAGACCCUAAGUGGAAUAAAAUGUCAGUAGCAGUCUAGGAGCAUAUAUUUAUUGGAAUAGAUCAUUCAUUCAUUUGUUCAUUAACUAAUUUGUUCAUUAAAUAAACAUUUAUUAAGCA